CAACGUGAUGUCUCUUAGGUAAAUUCGUAUCAAAAUGGGAUUCCAUUGAAAUAGAGGCCCCUGUCAUCAAAAUCAAUUCGCCCCACGAUUGUAACAGAAAAUGUAGUGGACACACAUCCGUAGCGCGGUUAGAAUGAGGGUCUGCUACAGAUUUUCUGUUUGCCUGUUGAACGUAAUCCCUCAAAUUGCUGGAAACGAUGAGAUCACCUAAACUGCCUCCACCACCAACCGCUCCGGUGGAGGUCAUGAUUGAAACUUUAUCGUAACGGGCGAAUUAUUGAUUACAGGGACGCAAAACAACUUGAAUCUCCCUCGAUGCCCUUCGUCGUU